rnacentral:misc_RNA from 1 species
CAGUCGUCGCUGCAAGAGAAGUAAGGGCAGCAGGAAGAGAAGGGGAGGGUACACGUCUUCCAACAAGGCGCAGCCAGCUCCACAUGUGCUGCUGGCACCCUCCUAUCCUAACCCAGUGGACGCAUCGGCGAAGCGCACGAAACGAAACGCUACUCUCUUUCUCUGUAUCUCUCUCUCUCUGUGCCGGUUGAAACACGGGUGACGGGCGCCUAUUCUCCCUCUCCGCUGCGCACGAGUCCGGCACAUUGGCCUCGCUUCCCUCCUUUAUCUUUCACUGGCGGAGGAAGUACACACGCACGACGCAUAUCUGCGCUGGCCUCUCGAACUCUUUUCGUCUCCCUCUAUUCGCACGUGGUUUGAGCGCGGUCGCGUUCACUGCGAACCUUUCCUCUGCCUGUCUGCCUGCCUGUCUCGUAUCGAACUCUCAAAGGGCGCGCGACGAGCGACGAGGCGCGCAGACGGAGCAACAGAGAAGAGGCUCAUCCAACUCGGUGGGGCCGUCUUGCCAACGCCGCACACAGUACCCCCUCAGGGGGGAGGGCACGUGCGCUUUAUUUGAUCAUCGCGGACACAAGUGAGGGAGAGAUUACAAGGUGCGUACGCAAGACCAGAGCGCACGCACACGCACGCUAUGCCGUCCUCGUCCUCGUCGACGACGCACCGCUCGGAGGGCGUCCGCAGCUCUGAGCGACUCUCCGGCUCUCACUCUUCUUUGUCUGCUUCGCAUGGCCGUCCAACCAUCGGCCCAUCGCCGCGUGGCGACCGCGCCAUUGGCGCACAGACUCCACGCUCUGUCGAGUUUACGGAGGUGCCACACGCGGAGAUGGAGGAGAAAGAUACAUACAGCAGCAGCCGCACCAGCUCCAACGGCAGCCGGCUGCGUCGCUCCUGCGAUGGUAAUAGCGGCCAUGUCCAUCGCUACGCAGUGUCGGAGUCGUCGAACUGUAGCAGUUGCUUCGAGAUGCUUGAACACGUGCCAGAGAACGACAGUCACCACAGAGCAGAGACGAGCGUGACGCACGGCACUGUAACGUGCCAUAUGUCCCCCAUGCUGCCGCCGCGAUCCGGUGCGCGGGUGGGCGAGGCAGCGUGCUGUGAUAUCCGCUCAACCUGCUCGAGCCCCGCUCCUGCUGCCUCCGUAACCGUUGGUGGCACCGGUGGGUCUUCGCGGCCAUCUUCCUCCUGUCCCUCGCCUGCUGCGAGCUCGUCGCUGACGACGCCGAAGCGGGUGGACGGCGCUUUCACGGGCGCUCACAGCUCUGCCGCGCAGCCGCCGGACUCGGCGGCGCCCUUCUCCAACGAUUCGCUUGCUGCUUUGUCCACGGAGCAGAUGGAGGCGGCACUCCAGCUGUACGUGGAGAAGGGUGGCGUUUACACGAAUGAGGUCACCUCAGCGCUCCAGGCACUGCCGUGGUGUGCCGCGACCUCGGCGCACGCUUCGCCGGUCUCCAGCGUCGCUGACACGUCUGCAGCGGACACGGGCGAGGAGGCAGAGCAGCAUUUGGUCGAUCCGGAGGUCUGGCUUGGCGCUGUGGCUGCAGCGACUGCCUCCGCAGUAGCAGUAGCCGAGAACGACGAGCAAGCAAGUGUGACUGCGCCGUCUGUUGCCACGCGCAUCGCUUCAGCGGGAGUCCUACACAAGACACAAGGGCGACACAGCACGCUCGAAGAGGUCUCCACGAUGAUAAUGCAGCCUUCGAAUCUCGCCGACCCGUCUGCCCCUGUUCCCGUUGAACGAACAGUGGAGAAACGACGCAGCUCGGCUGACUCUUCGAGUGAACUUGCCGCCGUUGGCGGUGCUGCGACCGACAGCGACUUUGCUGACCAUGAGGCAGACCGUGGCCCAGGGCGAAGCUCAGCCGUUGUCUCUCCGGUGGACAGUCGCUCCCAUCUCCGCGGCGAUGAUAGCAAUGACAGCACACCGAGGGUAAACAGUGUCAACGGCCAUCAUGUAUCCACUGAUCGCAAGCUGGCCUACGGUGACGUCAACGACGACUCCACAGAGCGCCCAGCACGUGGGGAGCGCUCCCCCUCUUUUCCACAGCUGACGCGACGCCACCGAUCAGGCUCUGCGCAGCAGCAGCGACUGCCCAUGCCCAGUUUUAUGAGCAACACCCGACCACUACGAAGCUCCCCUUUAUACUCUUCCGUGUCGCCGAUGCAGCGCUCUGUGGAUGACCAACAACGGUCUCCUGCAACCGCGGCAGCGUCCUCGCCGGUGUGUGUCACGAAAGACGCGACGGAGACCGCCGCUCCCCCGGCUGCGUCGGUGUUCGAUACAGUCUUUGCGGGAACCGCAGGCAUGCACGCCCUUUUCCAGCUGUGCCUGCGGACACCCCUGGCGACGGCCUCCGCGACGAUGAGGGUUAGCGACUGGUACGCGCUCCUAGACCAGCUGCGGCACAAUGGGUGCCACAAGCUGCCACCGCAGCCAAUCCUCGACGACGUCGCCCGCACCAUCGCGCACACAAUGCAGUCUGAAGGGCAUUCAGGCGGGCUGACUUUGAGCGAUUUCGCCCGCGUUAUACAGUGCCAGCUGAAGGAGGUGAGGGUCGACAUGACAUCGCCGCUUCCUCGAAAUGUCCCCGCCGGCGACGAGACGGCGUCGCGGCAGGAGGUGGCGCUGCACUUCCCACAACACCCCAGGUAUACGGUCACUGUACCGACAUCUGCAGCAUUAUCAUCACAGUCACCCUCGUUUCCAUCGAGACGCAGCAGCCGGCGCAGCUCGCAGACGAAGCUGACACCGGUGACUGACAGCGGCCAGUGGCGUGUGCUGCCGACGUGGUGCAUGGCGCUUGCCGGUCUCUUUCCGCGAGAGAUGUCGAAGGUGUGCCCUGUGCCCGUGGUGCGCUACCUGCGCAGCGUCGGGCUGAUUCGCGCGGUGCUCGAGGCCAUCACGCAGCGCCUGCAGAUCGAGGUGGAGGCAAUCCCUGAAUGCGUAGCACCUAUAUCGAGCGCGGCCAGCAAGGAAGCAGAGAACCCGUCCGAAGGCGCAGCGGUGGAGAGCCUUGUGCUGUCAGCGUCAUGUGAGGGAUCUGGAGGGAGCAGAUCGGUGAGCAACCUGCUCGCUCGGAGCGGCGCCUCUGCCGGUGCCCGCCCCGCUAUCUCGGUCGUCGUCACUGAGAAGGCUGUUGGCGACAGUGGCGGCAGAAAUGGGACAUGGAAUGAGCAGCCGAUUUGGGGAUCUGCGACGGCGGGCAAUUACCGCAGGAGGGUAAAGCGCCGUAAAAGGGGCGCUGCCACGAACAUGGUGGCAACCCCAGAGAGGGCAGGAAGCGACUGUGCGAUAGUCGCCUCGAACCCGCAGGGGGCGAGCAGCGGUAGCAGCUGUCCCAAGGCGGGCACCACUGCCUCCGCCAGUAGUGAUACCUUCAAGUCGCACUACCUCGAUCAGCGUCCCCUCGAUGAGAUCAGCAUCUCCGUCGUGGCGCGGGCCAAGGCGCGCCGUCUCAUGGACACGCUCCGGCGCCAUACUGUCCCGAUCAACCGCUACGAGUGCUUCGCGCGUGUGGAGCAGGAGGAUGAGCCAGUGCGGCAGGCGCUGUGCUUUGUGUCUCGGGAGGAGCUGAAGGCGACCUUCAGCAGCGACGGUGGCGAGGACAGCGAUGCAGACUCGGACGCGAUGCCCGACAUGAUUGCCGCUCUGACGUACCACCCAGGGGAGGAGACAGAGGCGAGCCUAGUUGGGACGGCCGCGAAGGACGGCGGUGGCGUAGACGUGGACCAGACACGCUCGGCUCUGCCGCCUCCAACGCUGUCGCGCACGUCUACCCCCAACGUUCUGCCCACCGUCAUCAUGGGUGCCACGCGUGCUUCAAUGCACGCCGGCGGGCGGGCCUCGUCCGUCACCACAUCCCGGGUGGCUUCCGCCGGCAGCGCAGUGAGGCCACCGCCGCCCGUGCCUUGUAUGUUCCGCAUGAGCGGCGUGCUCCCCACCGCACUUCCCCGAAAACAGGAGGAGGCUCUGGUGAGUCGACUCAGCAAACCCGUCUGCGACCCUGCCGCGAUGAGUCUGCGUGUGGCCUCUAAGGAAAAUGGCUACACGUCCUGUCACGCUGCGGACACCACAACAGCCAUAGGCGCAUCCGACUCAGCAUCUGCGAACGCCAAGGCGAUUGAAGACCGCCCGACUCGUUUAGCGCGAUCACGGCGUCCCUCUGGGUCAGCCGCCCAGCGCCACUACCGGUCCCACCUGCAUCCGACGGAUCGAGAGUCGUCCAAUGACACAGUUUCGCGCAGUGGCCCAGCUGCGCCAUCGCGGAAUGGUUUCCGCCGGCGGCGCGGCCGCCCAUCCUCAUCGCGGACGGAUCGAUGCUACGCCUCCUUGUGCCCCGGUCGCCAGCAUCAGCUGUCAUCGUCGUUGGCGGCCAACACGGACAGCGGCGGCGCCUGCACGUCGCAGCCGACAGAGGGGCGAAACCGCAGUUUCUCUUUCUUCGACGUUCCUUACGUUCUUGCGGCGGCGCCGCUGUCGUCAUCGGCCGCGGCGGCGGCUGCCGCGCAAGUGAUCGGCGGCGGUGCGCCAUCCGCAUCAUCAUCGGGUGUAGCGAUUCCGCCGCAGCCGCCGGCCCUGCGUCGACAGGCAGGCCACCGUAUCGCGUCACGAGGUGCCCCUUGUGGCGCCUCGAGGGCGGGCUCCGCAGCGCCGCUUCGUGCCAAGGCGAAGGACGAGCCCGCAGACGGUCGGCGAGCUGGGAACAUCCCAAACAACGCUGUUCUCAAGCUGGCGCGGCGCGGCUUGCGCUCUAGAAGGUCAACUCCCCGACGCUCGAGUGAUGCCCCACCGCGCGACCGAAGUGCCGUUGAUGCACGUGGGGAGGAGAACAGUAGCAGGCCAAAAGCGGCCGAUGCCGCAGCUGCCGCACACCCACCGGCUGCUCCCCCGCAGCCGCACAUCUCCCUCUACGAGCGACGCCUUUGUCGACAGCUUCAACGUGCAUACUCCAACGAACACAUCUAACACCGCACGAACUGAGAUGACGGAGAAGGGUGAGGGAGGGGGGGGUGAGAGAAGGCGUACCGAUGUGGUCGCAUCUCAGGACGCCUGCAACAUGCAGAGAGAGAGAGAGAAAGGGGUGGGGCGAAGGAUGCGCGAACGGCAGAGACUGUCGGGAGGAGGGGGUGGGGCGAGCAGCCGUUGCGAUCCCGCAAUCAUUUCACCCCUCAUCGUCCGCCGCCCAGUUGCCCCUCGCCGUUUUCUCGUUCUCCUUGUAUCCCCUCACUGUGAAACAAACAAGAGGGUACUGCGACUGUGUGUGGUGUCUCACGCAAUCACCCCCCUCCCCCUUCCACGCACACGCGCAUGCAGCGAGGCCAGCACACCGCGCACCUUUCUUGCCUGCCCUUUUCUGGAUGUACAGUUCUUGACACCGCGAAUGUUCGGCCACGCAUGCGGGCACGCACAAGGCACAGUGUUGCUGAGCAAGAAGCACACGCGCAGGGCAUUGGCGGUUUCUUGUGUUUCCUUUUUUUUACCUGUGCAUGUGUGUGUGUGCGCGCACAUCUGCACAUCUGCGUAUUUGCCCUUUCCCUUCUUUUUCAACGUGUACCCCUCCCCCCUCUUCCUCCUCCUCCUUACUGGACUUUUACAAUGUCCACGUAUUCCAAAACGCUUCUCUCCGGCCCUCAAGGUUGUGGCUGCUGAUGCGGGGCGACUGCACCGCCCUUUGGCCGCUAUCAUGCUCAGGACAGCCACUGCUUCCUCCUCGGGCGCUAUGAUUUUGCAUGCGUGUCUAUGUGUCUGUGUGCUUGUGCCUUUUUUCUCCAUCUCGUCUGCGGUCGAUCCCUGCACGUUCUCAACUCGCCACACUGCACCGUGUGCGCACUGCACAG